AGCAGCCGCGGUAAUUCCAGCUCCAAUAGCGUAUAUUAAAGUUGUUGCAGUUAAAAAGCUCGUAGUUGAAUUUCGGGAUCAAUUAAUUGGUCGUGCCUAUGGUACGUACUGAUUUUAUUGGUUUCUCCCUUCUGACGAACCAUGAUGUCAUUAAUUUGGUGUCGUGGAGAAUCAGGACUGUUACUUUGAAAAAUUAGAGUGUUUAAAGCAAGCUAACGCUUGAAUACAUUAGCAUGGAAUAAUGAAAUAGGACGUUUGAUCCUAUUUUGUUGGUUUCUAGGAUCGACGUAAUGAUUAAUAGGGAUAGUUGGGGGCAUUAGUAUUCAAUUGUCAGAGGUGAAAUUCUUGGAUUUAUUGAAGACUAACUACUGCGAAAGCAUUUGCCAAGGAUGUUUUCAUUAAUACAAGAACGAAAGUUAGGGGAUCGAAGACGAUCAGAUACCGUCGUAGUCUUAACC
rnacentral:rRNA from 1 species